rnacentral:rRNA from 1 species
AUACGUAGGUGGCAAGCGUUAUCCGGAUUUACUGGGCGUAAAGAGCUCGUAGGUGGUUUGUCGCGUCGUCUGUGAAAUUCCGGGGCUUAACUCCGGGCGUGCAGGCGAUACGGGCAUAACUUGAGUACUGUAGGGGAGACUGGAAUUCCUGGUGUAGCGGUGAAAUGCGCAGAUAUCAGGAGGAACACCGGUGGCGAAGGCGGGUCUCUGGGCAGUAACUGACGCUGAGGAGCGAAAGCAUGGGUAGCGAACGGGAUUAGAUACCCUGGUAGUCCAUGCCGUAAACGGUGGGCGCUAGGUGUAGGGGUCUUCCACGACUUCUGUGCCGUAGCUAACGCAUUAAGCGCCCCGCCUGGGGAGUACGGCCGCAAGGCUAAAACUCAAAGGAAUUGACGGGG